UGGCUCAGUUGGUACAGCAUGGUGGUUGCAACGCCAGGGUUGUGGGUUCGAUUCCCAU
rnacentral:tRNA from 1 species